ACUUCGUCACCAUGGAGGAAGCAGAGAUAAAGACUCACAUUGGCACCAAGCACACAGGGGAAGACAGGAAGACCCCCAGCGAAUCAAAUAGCCCCUCUUCAUCCUCCCUCUCAGCUCUGAGUGAUUCAGCCAACAGCAAAGAUGAUUCAGAUGGCUCCCAGAAAAACAAGGGCGGGAACAAUCUGCUGGUCAUCUCUGUCAUGCCUGGGAGCCAGCCCUCACUGAACAGUGAGGAAAAGCCAGAGAAAGGGUUCGAAUGUGUUUUUUGCAACUUUGUCUGCAAGACGAAGAACAUGUUUGAGCGUCAUCUGCAGAUACACCUCAUCACCCGGAUGUUUGAGUGUGAUGUGUGCCACAAGUUCAUGAAGACCCCCGAACAGCUGCUGGAGCAUAAGAAAUGCCACACUGUCCCCACCGGUGGGCUCAAGUAAGGAAAGCAAGUACAGAACCUUUUACUGCGUUGUUAUUAAAUACCCUUUCCCCUUCCCUACCCCGUCCCUUCCCGUGAAGGUUUUGGGAGUCAUGGAGAAGGGGAGCUUGGUAUGAGGGGAGUUAGUCAGGAACCCCUGCUGCCUUUAGCUGGAUUGAAUUAGACCUGUCCCCCUAGGGUGUCAACAGAUGUCAGUAGGAGAAUCCAUUUUGCAAAUAUCCCGGGAUUCAGGGCAAGAAAAAAGACACGUUGAAACAACCCAGCAUUCAAGAAUAGACUACACUGCUUGAGUUUUC
rnacentral:sRNA from 1 species